UGACAGUGUCUCAGAGAGUGGCUGCCGCU
rnacentral:piRNA from 1 species